rnacentral:rRNA from 1 species
UGNCGAAGGCGCUCUGCUGGGCCAUAACUGACGCUCAUGGACGAAAGCUAGGGGAGCGAAAGGGAUUAGAUACCCCUGUAGUCCUAGCCGUAAACGAUGANCACUAGGUGUCGGGGGAAUCGACCCCCUCGGUGUCGUAGCUAACGCGUUAAGUGUUCCGCCUGGGGAGUACGCACGCAAGUGUGAAACUCAAAGGAAUUGACGGGGGCCCGCACAAGCGGUGGAGUAUGCGGUUUAAUUCGAUGCAACGCGAAGAACCUUACCAGGGUUUGACAUCCUGCGAAUCCCUUGGAAACUUGGGAGUGCCUUCGGGAGCGCAGAGACAGGUGGUGCAUGGCUGUNGUCAGCUCGUGUCGUGAGAUGUUGGGUUAAGUNCCGCAACGAGCGCAACCCACGUCUUUAGUUGCCAGCAUUUAGUUGGGCACUCUAGAGAGACCGCCGGUGAUAAACCGGAGGAAGGUGUGGAUGACGUCAAGUCAUCAUGCCCCUUACAUCCUGGGCUACACACGUANUACAAUGCUACGGACAAAGGGUUGCAAACUCGCGAGAGCUAGCUAAUCCCACAAACCNUGGCUCAGUUCAGAUCGUAGNCUGCAACUCGCCUACGUGAAGGAGGAAUCGCUAGUAAUCGCAGGUCAGCAUACUGCGGUGAAUACGUUCCCGGGCCUUGUACACACCGCCCGUCACACCAUGGAAGUUUGUUGCAAAAGAAGUAGGUAGCUUAACCGUAGGAGGGCGCUUACCACUUUGUGGCCGAUGACUGGGGUG